GAGUAGCGCAGCUGGUAGCGCGCCGGCCUGCGGAACAUUGGGUCCCAGGAUCGAACCUGGCUU
rnacentral:tRNA from 1 species